AUGAAGAGACAACGUUACACUAACUUCUAUCUUUGUGAGGUCAGUAGCAAUAUGGUCAUUGAUGCGACAAACAAGGGGAACAAGUCCAGGUUUAUCAAUCAUAGUUGUGAACCAAACACAGAGAUGGAGAAAUGGACUGUGGAUGGAGAGACCAGAGUUGGAAUUUUUGCUCUUCGUGACAUACAGAGAGGGGAGGAGCUGACCUAUGACUAUAAAUUUGUCCAGUUUGGAGCAGAUUAA
rnacentral:rRNA from 1 species